CUGGAAUACAGAAGAGUAAAGGGAUAUGAUAUGUGAUUUAUUUUUACAUGAUUAAAAAACAGAUAGAUGCAUAAUACAAGCAGAUGAGCAGUGACAGAGAGAGAGAGAGAGGGAGAAAGAAACAAAAGAAGUAGAAUAUGCAACUGAUAAAUUUUGGUUCUUACAGGACUGGAUCAGUUACCUCAAGAGCAAGUUGUGACGCAAGCCGCCUCUCGUGUCUUGACCCUUGUGUAUGUGCCUACUUGCCCUUCCACUUCCCACCAUGAGUCGACACAGCACAAGGAAUAAAGCUUACUGCUAUGCUGUACGCUAAAUAGCAUGAACCCCAAGGAAAAGCUGGUUACUGGAGCUACAGUAAAUGUGUUUGUGCUUUGCUCAGGAAGAAAAGUCCAUCUUCAAGACACUCCAGUUUGGAAUGAAUUUGUAUUAAAGUAUAAUCACUGAG
ensembl:lincRNA